AUGGCCGCCGUGCUCGUCCCGCCCUCGGCACCGCACCUCCACCGCCAUCUCUGCUGGCUCCUCGCUGAUGCCUUCGCCCCUUCCUCGUCCAGCACGCCUCUGCUCAGGCUCACAUCGGGCUCCUCAUCGUCCUCCUCGCCUUCUCCUCCCGCCCGCGCUCCUCUCCAACUUCCUCCGCGCCGGCAUCCACCACGCCUCCGUGCAGAGCCUCCUCGACCAGGCCAGUGGCUUCCACUUCCGCUCCUCCCUUGUCGACCUCCCCGCCAUCUCUGCUGCCCGCUCCCUCCUCAUCCUCUGCGCGUACACGGCAUGCGGGGGCGGCGCGGCCUACCUGUGGGUGGCGGCGGCCUGCAGCAUCGGCUCCCUCUUCUACGUCCAAGGCCGUCACGGUCUUUGGCGUGGCCGCCGACGGUGCCGCCGGCCUCGAGCUGCAUGGCAAGGGCCAGCUCCUCGCCUUGGCCUACCGGGCCAGCAGCCGGGAGAAGCGCUGGUUGCACGUCAUCUACAGGAUAA
rnacentral:rRNA from 1 species